GCCGGUGCAUUCCUCCUCUCUCGGCGGCGGCGGCGGCGGCUCUCAGGCCGCGCGCAGAACAUCCACGGGUUCUGCCCGGGGUCCCAGCCACCUCGUCCCGGUCGCUCACCCUGCAGGAUGCCAGGGGCGUCUGCGAAGUUCUUUGUCCGUCUAACCUGCUCCUUCGCUUUCGCCCGGCCGCUCAGGACCCCGUAAGCGCGGUCCCUCCCCAGCCCUCUGGCUGCAGCCUCGCCGCGGCCGGACAGUCAGUUCAGUCGCGGGUUGUCGGGGUCGCACUCGCGGAGGGCGAGUCUCGCCCGCGCGUACUCUGAAAACAGCGCGCCCUACGCCCGGGGGCUGCCGUCCCGGGGCUCCCUCCGUGGCGACCGCGGCGGCUCCUCCCGCUCUGCGCGCUGGCUCUCUUGCACUCAGCCUCCCUCAACUUGUCACUUUCCACCAACUCUCCAGCCCAGCGCCUGGGCCCCGACCAAUGGCAGAGGCGGACCCCAGGCCGGCGACCCAGCGCCCUCUGCUGCCGCCUUUCAACACCCGCACCCUCCGGACGUCCCGAGAGUUGUUGUUCCCGCGCCUCCAGCAAGCCCACCUCCCCUCCCCCACGACACCUCAAACCUGCAGCCCGAAUUGAGCAGCGGGGGCGGGGGGGCGGGGGGGGGGAGGACCUCGGGGCCACUUGACAGAAAGGGAAACCGAGGCUCAGGGAAGUUUAUCUGGCUCGCAAACCUGUAG
rnacentral:lncRNA from 1 species